UCCCAGCGCUCCUCAAGGUGAGCUCCCUU
rnacentral:piRNA from 1 species